UGAGGAACCUUCCACAAUGGGCGAAAGCCUGAUGGAGCGACACCGCGUGAAGGAAGAAGGCCUAACGGUUGUAAACUUCUUUUCUGAAGGAGCAUAAUGAGAGUACUUCAGGAAUAAGGAGCGGCUAAUCACGUGCCAGCAGCCGCGGUAAUACGUGAGCUCCGAGCAUUACCCGGAAUUACUGGGUGUAAAGAGUUCGUAGGUGGAAUAAUAAGUUGUAUAUUAAAGACCGAGGCUUAACUUCGAGUUUGUGUACAAAACUGUUAAUCUAGAAUCAGGGAGGGGUAAGCGGAAUUCUGAGUGUAGGGGUGCAAUCCGUAGAUACUCAGAGGAACACCAAAAGCGAAGGCAGCUUACUGGAACUGAAUUGACACUCAAGAACGAAAGCGUGGGGAGCGGA
rnacentral:rRNA from 1 species